rnacentral:rRNA from 1 species
UUUCCUACGGGACGCAGCAGUGAGGAAUAUUGGUCAAUGGGCGCGAGCCUGAACCAGCCAAGUCGUGUGAGGGAAGACGGUCCUAUGGAUUGUAAACCUCUUUUGUCGGGGAGCAAAAGACGCCACGUGUGGCGUUCCGAGAGUACCCGAAGAAAAAGCAUCGGCUAACUCCGUGCCAGCAGCCGCGGUAAUACGGAGGAUGCGAGCGUUAUCCGGAUUUAUUGGGUUUAAAGGGAGCGUAGAUGGGUUGUUAAGUCAGUUGUGAAAGUUUGCGGCUCAACCGUAAAAUUGCAAUUGAUACUGGC